CUUUCUUUGGAGUGUUUAGUGAGUCCUGAUCCUUGGAAGAGACUGGUAAUUCCAGUUUGCAGGUUGAGUUCUCCCUGUUGAAAUCUGUGCUACCAUGGAAAAGCCCAAGCCUUUCCUCAGCUGCCUGCUCGGUGAUAUUCCAGUGCUUUGAGCAGUCCCUGCAAACCACAGGAGCCCAUGUGGGAAGAGAGGAUGGGAGCCCAGGGCACAGCACAGCCCCUUCAGCUGUCCCCGAGGGGCUGGGGUAUCCCUCUGCCUUGCUGGGCAAAGGAGCAUCAGAGUCACAGUUCCAGGCAUAGAGACCCAGUCUCACCGUGCUGCCAGUCCACAUCUCAGGAGCUGGCAGUGUACGUUUGUUCCAUCAGAAACUUUCCACGUGAAAGUGCCAGUGUGUUUGAGAAGAGUUGUGGUGCUGCUGAUCUGCGGGCAAAGCAGUGCACACAGCAGGUAUGUGAUGUUCCCCAGUACAGCACCACUGGGCAGUGGCAGGGCUGAUCUCUCACCCCCAAACUGUUGCACUUUGAGCAGAAGCUUUCAGAUCUUUUCAGUUUUCACUUUGUCCUGGUGGAAAGCAGGAUGCUGCUGGUAAUGCCUGUAUCGCAUAUCUGAAUGUGCAUUUCUUAGCCACCUCAUGAAGACCUCUGACAAACGGGUCAUGACCCUGCAGGGGAUCUAAUGGCCCAUGGGGGAAAAAUACUUCCCCGGGGUGGGUUUGCCAUCAAUUCCAGAUGAUUGCUGCAGAAGAGAGAAAUCAGAUAAGGGAAGUCUUUCCUUUUCCACCAGCACAGACUCCCUCGUUGCAGCAGAAGAGGCGUAAUUGUUGCGCUGCUCCUGGAAGCAGCUCAGACAGCGAUUCCUUGAAAGACAGGUUCACACAUCUUGCCCUGUCAUAGUCAGGGGCUCUUCCAGACAAACUAGUUGCUGCUGCUACUCAAGAAGCAUGUUUUAUUCAUACCAAAGAGUGUUCUUUUGGCCGCGUCAACAUCAAGCAAAUGCAGCACAGAGUGGGCCAGUUGGGUUCAUCCCAGGAAAUCAUUCAUCUCCCUUAGGGAAGUGCUGUGCAAUGCCCUUAAGCCCUCACUGAUAUUUAAUGGUGCGAGCCUGAAGCUUAAGCACCAUCCCCAUGCUGAAGCUGCCUUGCUUCUGUCUUGCUUUGAGGAAACAAUCGCUAGCGUCUGCAAAGGCUGAGGGGAAGGAUUUGCUUAAUGCAGCCCCAAGCCCCUGCCCUAAUGGGUUGUUAAUCCAUAGCCAGUGCAUCAGAUUUGCCAGCUGACUCCCAGGGGUCCCCAACGUGCCUCCGUCCUCGAGACGUUUGCUGGCAGCUUGUGGUUUCCUGGCAUCCCCCAGGGAAAUGGAGUGGUGACUGUAAUAAUAGCCCCACACAGCCCCCUCCCUCCUGACCCAAAAGCAGUUGGCAGCCAAACUGAUAUGCACAUUACUGGAUUUAUAUGAAGUGCUGCUGAGCAAGAAAGAUUUGAGGGGGUUUAACAGCUAGAUGGGACUGAGAGAUGAUCUCAGUGCAUUGGCUUGUGCUUGGAAGAAGGGUGAGAGCUUUAAAGUAACAGAGCAGAGCCCUGCAGGGAGGGGAGGUGCCUCUGUGCCCUGAGACAGCUGACAGGGCAGUGCCACUAGGGGUGGGACUACAGCUGCACGGGGUGGCUGAGUGUGCACUGUACAGAAGUGACAUCAGAUGACAAGGCUGCUGUUAAGUGAUGUAAACUGCAGUGGGGAUUAUACCCGAAUUCUGACAGGCGUGGAUGAACUUGGUUGUUCUCUUGCAUAGAGUCCCAUCACUCUACAGCCUUAGAAAAUGCAAGGGCAUCCUAAAAAUGGAAGAGAGCUUUAUCUAACCAUCAGGCUUGUAAGUGUUUGUGCCUGGAAAGUUAUCUUGCUGUGGGACUUUUCUAUCUCCUCAGCUGCUGUUUAGAGAGGACGCUCUGUGUUUAUCUGCCCUCUAAUCACAGGGUGAAUGUCUGUGCAUCAGCAGGCCCUGAUAAUGCUGGCGAGAUGGCUUCACCCACAGGGACAGCGUGCUCUGCCUGCACAUGCACUGCAGUGCUGACCAGAGGCACCUCCUGCUGUCAGCCAACACAUCGCUCUGGCAGCAACCUCAAACUCAUGGUGAUACGCAGCUGCUCCCUUGGUCCUUCUGAUAUGAGCUGUGCAAUUGUCCCCUCCCUGCUUUCCCACUUUGGGUUUGUUUCCCCAGGCUCCAGCUGUGCCAGCCUAUUUCUGUCCAGCUCUUGUGGGCCUUCAUAGAUAAAGUCCAUCGGCCUCAUGGAGCUGGAGCUCUGUCCAGAGCAUCUCAGCAAAGCAGCGCCUACCUGAAAGGCAGUUCAGGGUACCCGCUGAUCCCCAACGGAGUGGUGGAGUCUUAAAUCAUGUUCAUCAGGGGUGAGGAGCUGUGGGAUUAACCCUUUUACUUGCUCCUCGCCCCCUUCAGACAGAAAAGCUUUUAAUGGGUCAGCAGAUUAAAAAAAGCAGCAGUGAAAACAUUCCCUUAUCUCCCCUGCCAUGCCUGGUCUCUGUAAUACAACUGAUUCCUGCGAUGUGCAGACCUACUCAAACAAGUUUAUCUUCAUUCAAGGAAUAGUCAUACAGUGAGAUUGCAGUGUAAUUACCUUCUCACAAA